rnacentral:piRNA from 1 species
UCCUAGUCUCGCGUCUAGACCGGUCC